rnacentral:lncRNA from 1 species
GGCACAAACACAGCUGGGAUAUAUCCAAAUGGCAGGUUGCUCCUCGUUACGGUGUUGCCUGGAGAGCGAUGCGAUUGAGCCAUUGAGCGAUGGGCAGGAAAAACUUGACUUUUUCUCCUGCCAUGGGGGGGGAAUGUGGAUUCUUUUAAGAAUGUGGAUUUUUUGGUCAUCUUUGGCGCCCCCUAGAACGUAAACCGUGGGGUGCAGCGUCAUGAUUUUUACAACUUUGAAUGGCCAUGGGGUGUAGAUUGGCCUGAGCAAAUUUGGUUUCAGUGGGACGAAAGCCUUAGGAGGAGUUAGCCACAUUCCAAUGUGUGCGAAUCGGCAAAAAAUGCAAAAUAGCCCUCUAACCGUACAUUUGACAGAUACGCACCCAUUGACUUUUUCGUAGAUCUUAUUGAGAUACACGUGAUUGUCAAAUUUUGUGUCAAUAUGACAAAGCGUACAGGUGUCACACUCAACAAUGUGAAUUUUCACCUUACGGGACAAGAAAAAAUUGACUUUUUUCUCCUGCCAUGGGGGGGCUCUUUUGAGGAGUAAAAAUUCCUUCACAAAUGUGUUGAUGGCUGGACAUUGCAUCAUCCUAGAAAACUUGGAGGCCAGUGAGGACAAAAAUAAAAAGUUAUAAGACUUUGAAAUAUGUGGAUUUUAGGGUUAUCUUUGGCGCCCCCUAGAACCUAAACCGUGGGGUGCAGCGUCAUGAUUUGAAUAACUUUUAAUGGCCAUGGGGUGUAGAUUGGCCUGAGCAAAUGUGGUGCCGGUGGAACGCCAGCCUUAGGAGGAGUUAGCGAAAUUCCAAUGUGUGCGGAUCAGCAAAAAAUGCGGAAUAACCCUUUAACCGUACAUUUGACAGAUACGCGCGCAUUGACUUUUUCGUAGAUCUUAUUGAGAUACAUGUGUGUGUCAAAUUUUGUGUCAAUAUGACAAAGCGUACAGGCGUGACACUCAACAAUGUGUAUUUUCACCUUAGGGGACAAGAAAAAAUGGACUUUUUUCUCCGGCCAUGGGGGGCGCUCUUUUGGGGAGUAAAAAUUCCUUCACAAAUGUGUUGAUGGCUGGACAUUGCAUCAUCCUAGAAAACUUGGAGGCCAGUGAGGGCAAAAAUAAAAAGUUAUAAGACUUUUAAAUAUGUGGAUUUUAGGGUUAUCUUUGGCGCCCCCUAGAACCUAAACCGUGGGGUGCAGCAUCAUGAUUUGAAUAACUUUUAAUGGCCAUGGCGUGUAGAUUGGCCUGAGCAAAUGUGGUGCCGGUGGAAAGAAAGCCUUCGGAGGAGUUAGCGAAAUUCCAAUGUGUGCGGAUCGGCAAAAAAUGCGGAAUAACCCUUUAACCGUACAUUUGACAGAUACGCCCGCACUGACUUUUUUGUAGAUCUUAUUGAGAUACAUAUGUGUGUCAAUUUUUGUGUCAUUUUGACAAAGCGUGAAGGCGUGACAGUCAAUAGUGUGAAUUUUCACCUUAGGGGGCGCUAUGGAGCCAUUUUGCAUUUUCUUGUUUGGGCGACUUCGGAAUAUCAAAUUUUUCACCAGGCCCGGUCAUCCUGCCAAAUUUCAUGAGUUUUCGCCAGUGGGAAGUGGGCCAUUUUCCAGUUCAAAGGGGAGGAAAAAGAAGAAAGAAAGAAACAACUAGGGCCCCGUUGGGGCACUGGCGGGCCCGAGCCGUGUCGCACCCCCCCCCCCAUACGCGCUGCCUCCUCGUCACAUUCAUGUCCUCUGGCCAUCGCCCUCUCUGGUAACGCCCAUCACUGCAAAGACCCUUUUCCUUCAUCGGCGUUUGCUGUUCUUCCUGCCAGUGCGUGUUGCUUUCACUUACACUUGCCACAGCCAGCCUCGUGAGUGCCUAGCCUAUUGGAUAUCACUGUCACCUACACAGGACAGUCAUACUUUGUUUUUUAAUUUCACAUUAAUUUCCAUAUUGUAUAAACGACUGGAAAAAACUUGAGCCCCUGCCCCUGUAUUAUCAUGUGCACGUCCCUGUUCUAGCUCCAAGGUGAAUCUUCACUGCUCAUGUUCUCCUCAGAAGCAGUCACCUCACUCCCCUCAGGUUACUGUACACAUGCACCAACUGCCUGCUUCAGGUUUGGAUGGAGCUUCAUGGUUGUCUUUUGGAGAAAUGAGCAGUCAAGUUGUGUUUGAAAUUUGAUUUUUUUCAGGGGCAAAAGGAAGCCUCUGCAUUCUUGUCAAAUAUGUAAAUAGCAUGUUUUUGCAGGUGCUAAAAAACAGACUCUGAGUGUGUGUGUGUGUGUGUGUGUGUGUGUGUGUGUGUGUGUGUGUGUGCGUGUGUGUGUGUGUAUCCUGCAGUACUCUGAGAAGAAUAAUAAGCAUAUUUCUGAGGUGAAUUUUGAAGAUUCAUCUGAGAGUUAGGUUUGAUUCGAUUCGAUUGACGCUCCCCAGCGUUCAAGUCACAUGACAUAUUUAACCGGAUGUAGCUGCAAGACGGAGCCUCGUUGACUCUCCGUUUCAACUUAUCUCAAAAGUGAGGACCUCAACCUAUAUACCAGUUUUUAAAUUGUGUUGAUAGGCCAAAUAAAACCAGAGUUAUGAUAAAUUAUGUCCGCGAUACUUUUUUUCUGCUUAUUUUGAUCACGUUCGGCGCUCGAUCGCGCUGUAUGAGACAGGAAAACAUAGCAUGCACACAUUAGCGACAGGUCUUACAGGCGGAAAAGGCUUGCCAAAAGAAAAAAAAAACACCACAACAUCUCUCCUAUUGGUGGAAAACUUCACCACAACAACCAAUCCAAAAUUAUAUGGUGACUGAUUGACAAGGGGCGGGUGCUUACGUUCUUCCUGCAACAUGAGAAGGGAGGGAGGGACUCUCAGCAGGGAUGCAGUCUGGGACACGUAGUUGCAAACC